UACGGGGGGGGCAAACGUUGUUCGGAAUUACUGGGCGUAAAGCGCGUGUAGGCGGCUCGGCAAGUCGGGUGUGAAAGCCCUGGGCUUAACCUAGGAAGUGCACUCGAAACUGCCAAGCUUGAGUUCUGGAGAGGAAGGCGGAAUUCCAGGUGUAGCGGUGAAAUGCGUAGAUAUCUGGAGGAAUACCGGUGGCGAAGGCGGCUCACUGGACUGGUAUUGACGCUGAGGUGCGAAAGCGUGGGGAGCAAACAGG
rnacentral:rRNA from 1 species